GUUGAGGGGAAUGGUGGCUGGUUCAAGGCUUCAAAAGAGAGUUUCUUAAGAAAUAAGAAACAAUUAUUAAUCUCUCUCUAAAGAUAGCUUUGGACCAGGCUUCCUUCCUCUCAAA
rfam:Citrus clementina cultivar Clemenules unplaced genomic scaffold scaffold_7, whole genome shotgun sequence.